rnacentral:rRNA from 1 species
AUACGGAGGAUGCAAGCGUUAUCCGGAUUUAUUGGGUUUAAAGGGUGCGUAGGCGGUUUGCUAAGCGGGAGGUGAAAUGCCGGCGCUCAACGUCGGAAGUGCCUCCCGAACUGGUGGACUUGAAUGACUCUGCCGUGGGAGGAAUGUGUAGUGUAGCGGUGAAAUGCUUAGAGAUUACACAGAACACCGAUUGCGAAGGCAUCUCACGAAGGGUUGAUUGACGCUGAGGCACGAAAGCGUUGGGAUCAAACAGGAUUAGAUUCCCUGGUAGUCCACGCAGUAAACGAUGAUGGCUAACCGCUGGAUCCAUCGGUUCAGUGGCCAAGCGAAAGCGAUAAGCCAUCCACCUGGGGAGUACGACCGCAAGGUUGAAACUCAAAUGAAUUGACGGGG